GAGUGGCUGGCGGAGUGGAAGACGAGCUUGCUGAUAAGGAACCUCGCGUUCCUAGAAUUUUUCCCGGUGGUGGUAGCGGUGGCGUUAUGGGGAAAACAGCUCGCAAACAAAAAAGUAGUAUUUUACUCAGAUAACAUGGCAGUGGUCCAGGCUAUCAAUGGGUUGUCGGCAUCAUCUCCUGCAGUGAUACAGUUAUUAAGGCACUUGGUACUUCUAUG